rnacentral:SRP_RNA from 10 species
GCCACACACAGGGUGUGGUGGCGUGCACCUAUAGCCCCAGCUACGCGGAAGGCUGAGGCCGGAGGAUGGCUUCAGUCAGGAGUUCUGGGCUGUAGUGCACUACACACUAAGUUUGGCAUCAAUAUGGUGACCUCCCAGGAGUCGGGAACCAUCAGUUUGCCUAAGAAGGAGUGAAACAGCCAAGGUUGGAAAGGAAGGAGGUCAAAACUCCCGUGCUGAUGAGCAGUGGAAUUGCGCCUGUGAAUAGCCACUGCACUCCAGCCUGGACAACGUAGUAAGUCCCCAUCU